CGGGUAUAGCUCAGUUGGUAGAGCAGCUGACUCUUAAUCAGAAGGUCGUGGGUUCAACCCCCUCUACCCG
rnacentral:tRNA from 1 species